AGUUGUGGUUUUAUCGCGUGCAAUAUUACGUUUGUUUAUCAAUAUUGCCAGUAGAAAUGCAUCUGAGAAGAAGAGUGGCUAAGAUUUAUUAUAGAAUAGGGGAGUGUAGACAUUCUCAAUACAUCGAAGCGACGAAUGACAAAGGUUGUCAAGCACUUGAAAAUUUUUGGUUAUUUACAGUUGAAGAAAUUUGAGUAUCGUUGCUCUAGAAAUUUAACCCCCUUUAUGGGUUUCUAUCUUUAUGCAGGAUAUUCGUCACAUUGACAGACCACAGUGUAGACUGUGCUAUGAUAUACUCUGAUAGACGUCAAUACUCCAAGUAAGAAUUAUAUUUUCGAAAAUCACUGGAAACGAUUCGUUAAAUAAAAGUAUAAAAUGCUCGUAAUGUUAUCAAAGCACGCCUUACGACUAGCCAAACCCCCAUAUUGGAUUUAGUACAGAAAUUUUAAAAAUGUUAAAAAAUAAACAAGUGGAGGGUUCCACGAACGACUGGAGUGUCCUGAAAUUUGUUUGGUAACGAUUCGAGAUUAAAUACCUAAACUCCCUCCAAGAGUUACGAGAUUUAUGAUGAUAAAUAUUGUAGCAUAGGCAAAGUGCUGGACAGUGCUAAUGAUCCAGCCAAUGAAGAGUCGCCCAUCUUUAUAAUAGGUUGAAGGUGUUAACAACGAUUUCUAUAAAACCAUUGAAAAUCUGAAGGCUGGUAGCGCGAGUCGCCUCCAAUGAUGAAAAAAAGAACGUCCAUUUGUUAAAUAGAUAUUUGACCAACUCUGUGCGCAAAUUUCAACCAACAUGUAUACUUUUUACAGACAGCCUGGAAGUUCGAUGAGUUGCAAGUGAAGAAAAAGUGAAGAGCAAAAUGAGAGAGAUGGCUACUAGGGAGCGAACGGCUACUUUACUAUAAAAUGUUACUUCUAAUUUGAGCAAACUCCGUUGAGAAUCUUAACGUCGUAUGUCCGUUAAUUAAUGGAGCUGCGUGGUCCGGGGUCAUUUAAUUCAAUUAAAGUUUAAUUUACGUCAAUUCCCAGGAUCCGACCUCUAAUCGCUUAUACCUAUUAUGGUACAGGGAAUGUAUACAAUUUGAUGCAAACCUUUUGGAGGUUUUUUUUGCAAGUACUACAAGAAUAAGGCGUACCAAGUAUAUUUUUCACUACUUUGACUGUCGACAUAGAAGGAAAUGUCGUAAUUCCGAAAAUCUUCGUUUUUAUUAUAAACUAACCGUAUAGGUGUUAAUUCUAUUUUAAAUGUAUUGGGAUAUUUAGUGGUUACGUGUCUCAACAUAUGAGUCAUAGCAGAUUCUAUAAGUUAAAGGCGGACAACAAGUACACUCAUACCGGUACGCAUCUUGUUACCGAUAAAACGAACAAGAAAUAUGUAUACAAUAUAAGAAAGGAUAAGAAUACUCAUACAUAGCAAAAUCUAUCACUAAGCAGGUGUGUAGGUGCGUGCGUACUGAAACAUAGCUACUAGUACUAUAACUAUAAACACUGUUACUCUCCGGUUUAUGGAAAAAUUAAUUGUUACAAUCGAGGUCGGUGAAAUCCGCAAGAGUUUCUGGCAAUUCGCAGGACGUGAUUCAACACAUCCUGCUAAUUCUGCAAUUGGCUAGAAAAUCCGAAAUUCUAUCUUGUAAUUAGUUAAUUAAUCAAUUAAGUAAAGUUACUACUCGAGAAUUGCGAAAAGAGUUACAUGUACUCUUAAUUUUUUCUCCUUAUACGUUUCUGCGAAAAAGUUAAGUUUUUUUUACUUUUUUUUUUCUUUACAUCUUUACCACACAGUCACCUGGUUGUAUUGAUUUGGAAAUGUAUUACUGUCGAUGCUUUAGAGAAUUUCCUGCUUCACGUAUAAAGGCGAUCUCCACA